UUUGAAGCUGCGCCGCGGCAGUUCACCUCUGCCGUUCCAGUCUCCUCCCAUGUCCGACCUGAUAACGACGAAACGAGGACGCCCUCCGACGAAUCUCGCAACGGUAAGCCCUCCUCUUUCUUUCCCUUUUGUUUUUGUUUUAUAACAGAAAAUAAAAAAGAAAAAGAACCAAAUAUCCCAUAGAUUUUAAAAAACAAAACGCGAUACCUUCAAAAAUUCCUUCUUUUAUUUUAUUUCGUACCUUUUUUCUUUUUCAAUACAAUUUUUGUCUCUUUUACACUUUUUCCUGAUCUCCCCCUUUUACAAAAAUCCCUUGGCCUUUUCUUCUCACCAAAUCUUUUCCUCUCUCCCCCCUUUACCUUUUUGUUGUAUAUUCUGCCACUAUUCAUCAUUCGUUGCAGGUGUGCGGAGAACGUGCGUUGUGCGGGGCUACUGGACGUGCAGGCAAGGACGUGAGGCAACGGGCGGUUGCUGCAACGUGAGGACGUGCGACGCCAAGGCUAUCUCUACUUAGGGGUUUUGUUACCUCUGUUUUGUAUUUUGGGCUAGCAGAUUAUGACUAGCAAUUUGGGCCCUAUUAGGCUGAAUUAUUUGGGCUGCAUAAAUGGCUUUUUAGCCAGGCCAAAAUUGGCCUAUUACAGCUUCUCCGCUUUGCUUGUUAUUGUGUAACGAGAACGGAGCAAAGACUUUAGAAUGGCCAGUUUUGCUUGGUCGUGCUGGACUUCGGGUCUCUUCUUCUUCAAGUGGCUUCAUUCCAUCCUACUGCAUCCUCAGAGGUAUAGGAACUGGGGCUUCAAUCCACUCCACUGCAACGUCAGGGAGAUAAAAGUUGUAUCUUGUAGCUUCUCAAACGAAUAAAAUUUGCUAUCUCUAGUCUGCUCCACUACAACCUCAGGAAGAUAAGACUUGAUAUGAUCUGCUCUUUUGCAACUUCAAAAAGAUGAGAUCUGUCAUGGGUAUUUAAUCCGACCUACUACAACUUCAGAGGUAUAGGAUUCAUCAUUUUAAUCCACUCCACUGCAACUUCAGAGAGAUAGGAUUAGUUUCUUCUGUUUGCUCCACUACAACUUCAGGGAGAUAAGACUAUAUGUGAUCUGCUCUCUGCAACUUCAGAGAGAUAAGAUCUAUGAUUUUAAUCCUCUCCACUGCAACUUCAGGGAGAUAGGAUUUUUUAAAUUAUUUAACUGCAAUGUUGGGGGAACCAGAUCCGCUAUCGUAGCUUUAAUCUGUUCCACUGCGCCACCAGGGAAGUAAGAUCUGCCGUUGUGGCUUCAAUCUUUUCCACUGUAAUGCUAAAGAGAUAGGAUUCGCUGCCCACAAAUUGAAUCCACUUUACUUUAGCUAAUCCAAGCCUUAACGCCAAGGAGAUAUGAUCCGCCAUUGUGGCUUCAAUCUGCUCCGCUGCGACGCCAAGAAAAUAAGAUCCGCCAUUGUGGCUUCAAUCUUUUUAAUUGCAACAUCAUGGCGAUAAGAUUGAUGCCUUCGAUCUGCUUUGCUACCAGUACAGGAAGGCAAGAUCUGUCAUUUUCGACCUACUCCACUGCUGCCCAGGGAGACAAGGCUGGUAUCUUCGAUCUGCUUCUCUGUCAGUACAGGAAGGCAAGAUCUACUAUUUUUAACCUGCUCCACUACUGCCCAGGGAGACAAGGCUGGUAUCUUCGACCUGCUUCUCUGUCAGUACAGGAAGGAAAGAUCUGCUAUUUUCAACCUGCUCCACUACUGCCCAGGGAGACAAGGCUGGUAUCUUCGAUCUGCUUCUCUGUCAGUACAGGAAGGCAAGAUCUGCUAUUUUGAAGCUGCUCCAUACUGCCCAAAGGGACAAGGCUGGUAUCUUCGAUCUGCUUCUCUGUCAGUACAGGAAGGCAAGAUCUGCUAUUUUCAACCUACUCCACUACCGCCUAGGGAGACAAGGUUGAAGUUUUACCGGUUUGUCCUCUGAGGAACAUGACCUGUAUAAUUCAACUUAUGAACCUAAUUAUGCCUAGUGAUUAGGAUAUCAUGAUCAGAAUGAAUCAAAUGCUCCUAACUAGACAUGUAUGAAUGACGUUUAAAUGAAUGCAGAAUGUCAUUUUUUCUGAGAAUGAUCCCGCUUAGGCAGUCAUUACUCAAAUUUUAUUAAGACCGUAUCACUGACGUGCUGCAACGCCUUUUGUUCGGAUCACAUCUCCAAAGAAACGCUUGAUCAAAUUGCCCCUCACCGUGAACUUCAACGUUCAAUCUACUAGGAUGCAACAUUGGUACCAUCUUUCUCCCGCUGUAACCCAAGGGUAGAAAAAAAAUCUAGCAUCUCAAUCUUCUCUUAUCGCAAGGUGAAGCACUUUGGUCUUUUAUACCGUUCUCAAGGUGUCAUACCAAAUGCCUAUGCACAAAUGAAGAAUUUCUUUCUUCGAGAAAACCUCUUCUUAUUACCAGGUGAUCAUUGCUUGCUUGUUCAUUGACGCUUUGUCACCAACACGACAUCUUGUCACUUUGUUCAAUCAAUGUUUUGACAACAAAAUCUGAAGGGAUAGUCUCAAUUUAGACCUUUCCUUCCCAGAUAUUUCAACCUUUAAACUUGGUGCGUUCUAAACAAUAGUCCUAUUUCAGGUUACUGUAUUAUUUAUAAACUUCUAGAGUAGUAUGUAAAACUUCCCUUAUGAAAGUUUUAUUAGUCCAUUGAUCAUUAUUCUAAUGCAACACGUUUGCAAAAAGAACAAAAUAAAAGAUAAAAUAGAAUUGGUUUGAGAACAUAGCUUGAAAUGAACAUAUUAUCAAGAAUAUUAAGAAUACAAGAAGAAUUGACUCGUAUCUUGAAAAAGAAUGAAGUAUUCCAAGAACAGGCAUAUAAAUAGUAUGAAGACUAGGUGCCCCAGAUAACGCAGCUUGAACUUCUCUGUACAAAUUUCCUGAAGACCAUUCUGAGUUUGACAUGUGUUUAGGAUAUCUACAAUACUCUAUCGAUGCCCCAAGAUAUCGCAUACCCUUUCCUGCUGAUUAAGGUAUAUCAAGACCACCACAUGCCCCAUUCCAAUCAAAAUCUAAGCCACUCUGAUCACUUCCAGCCCUAGUCUGAUCAAAAUUUGAGCCGCUCUUUUCGGGUUUUCAACUCAAAUCUCCUUUGGUCUAAGGCGCCCUUUGCGGGUUUUCACUUUAGCCUCUCCAUUUUUACUUUUUACAUUUUUAUUUUCACACAUUGUUCCUCUUUUUUUUUUUGCGACUCAAAGUGCCCUUUGCGGGUUUUUACCUUGGUCCUCUCCUUCUUUAAACGAUGUAUUUCUUGACUAAUUCUGAGUUUACAGGAUUAGACAAGUUUUUACUAUCCAUCUCACUCAAGAUCAGUGCUCUUCUAGAAAAGGUCUUCUUUACAAUAUAAGGACAGUCCCAAUUUGGCACUCAUUUUUCUCUAAAAUCCUUUUGUAAAGGAAGGAUCUUUUUCAAUACCAGGUCUCUCUCUUGAAAUUCUCUAGGACGAACCCUUUUUUGUUGUAAGCUCGCAUCAUCCGUUUUUGGUACAUCUGGCCAUGAUGAAUAGCUUUUAGCCUAUUUCUUUCAAUUAAGUUCAACUGAUCGUAUCAAGAUUGGAUCUUCAUCCAACUUCAACUCAGCCAAUACCUGAAGAGAAAGAAUUUUAACUUCAAUGAAAAAACCGUGAUAAGCUAAAGAGAAAGACAUUGCCCCGGUAGAGGUUUUUUGUUUCUUUUUGUUUUUAUUUUUUCUUUUUUUUCUUUUUUUUCUUACCUUUUUUUUAAUCUGCACUCAUAGUAUUAGGCAAGUCCUGGUCAUCCCUUUCGAUCAGAAUCAAUAUUAUUCCAGAUAAGGUCUUCCCCAUAAGAUCUUCCACUUUCAUUUUGUAUGCGAAAGAUCUUCUUUGGCAUCAGGUUUCUCUCAUAGAGCCUUUUGGGGCGAAAUUUAACUAUGACGAGAAAAUUUUAGAUCUUCCUCUUCAAUUAAGAUGAAAUCCAACAAAAAUACAGAAAAAUGACAACUUGACUUCAACGGGAUAAGCCAGAGAAGAAGGUAUUGCCCUGGUAAAGAAUUCUAACUGCAGCGUUCAUGAUAUGAAUCUUGAACAUACUGUAAAUUUUUAACAUCGUGCUAUUGCUCAGAUUACAAUAUCAGUGCUUAACCUGGGUAUAUCCUGCUAUAACCAUACAAAGACAUCUUUGAACUCUUGAAGUAACUUAACAAGGUCUUGCUUCGUUUAUCCGGUUAUGCAUGUUCUCUUAAAGUCACAAUCUCCAUUGUCUCUUCAAGAGGUAAAAUUUGUUCUCUUCUUGCUCUACCAUCCUCAACAAGUCUGGGGAUAGACUACGAUCUAUGUCAUCUCCAAAGUCAUGAGAUCCCUCUAAACACAUGUCUUGCUCAAAAGGAGAUUCUAAAUCUGUAGCAGUGUCAUUCAAAUCAUUGAUAUCUGGGGGCCCAUAAUAAAUACCAAAGAAUAUACAAAAGAAUGUAUAAAUUUAUGAAGAACUAUCUGUACAAUAUGAUUAUGAAUGAAUAAUGAUGUGGAAGAAAAUCCAAAAGAAUGAAAGAAUAACUAUUCAGACAGACUGAAAGAAUAUUAGUUCAAAAAUGGUCGCAAGGAUGCAUUUCAUUAAAAUAACGACAUUUAGACAUGAGCCUACUUCACAAAGGAAUUCUUAUUGCCUCUAGGCUAAAAGCAACAAGUCUAUUUUGAACAUUUCUCUAAAUAAGCCCUAAAUACUACAAAUAUUUCUUCUGUAGUUCGAUUGCUUAAAACACUCCCAGGUUUAAAAAGGUGGAUAUCUAACAAGGUCCCUUUUCGAUUGUGUCUUCAUCUAUGACAUUGAUGUGAACGCCUCUCAACACUUCUUCAUGCAUCACAUUCACCCCAUUAUCAAAUGUGAUUAGGUAGCGGAUUUUCUGCACUGGAUGAAUCGUCAAAUUUGACAAUGCCUAUACUGAUAAGCCUUUCAACCACUUUUUUAAAGGCAAUGCAAUUUUCUAUAGAAUGUCCCAUAAUUCCUGCAUGAUAAUCGCAUUGUGCACUUGCGUCGUACCAUUUGGGGUACGGAGGCUAUGGGGGUUUUGAGUAGAAAGGGGAAACAACGUGCACAUCGAACAAGCUUUGAUACAGCUCCUUAUACAACAUUGGAAUUGGCGUGAACUGGAGUUUCUCAGUACCUUGCUUCACACCUGAUUCUUGUCUUGAUGAACCCUGCUGAUUAGCAACCACUUUUCUUGGCUGAUUCACCGUAAUCGAUUUGCUGUAUGUAUUCACGUUGUUCACCUCAUUUUCUUUUUCCUUUGGGGCUUGCCUUCUGUUAUUUCCUCCAGUAUCAAUCUUUCCGCUCCUUAUGACUCUUUCAAUCAUUUCACCAUUCAUAACUAUGUCAGAAAAGCUUUUUGUGGCACUUCCCAACAUAUGUGUGAUGAAUGGGGCCUUCAACGUAUUUAUAAAGAGCAUUGUCAUUUCUCUUUCCAAGAGCGGUGGCUGAACUUGGACAGCGACCUCCCUCCACCUCUGUGCGUACUGCCUAAAACCUUCAUUUGACUUCUUUUCCAUGUUCUAUACGGUGAUUCUAUCAGGAACCAUUUUUGCUACAUGACUGUACUGCUUCAUAAAAGCCUGCGCCAAAUCCCUCCAAGAACUAAUUUUGGUACGGCUCAAUUGAUUGUACCAUUUAGAUGCUGCCCCUGUGAGACUAUCUUGGAAGCAAUGUAUUAAUAAUUGGUCGUUGUUAACAUACCCAGUCAUUCGCCUACAAAACAUGGUAAUGUGGGCUUCAAGGCAACUGGUCCCAUUAUACUUCUCGAAUUCUGACAUUUUGAACUUGUGAGGGAGCACCAAAUCUGGGACCAAACUCAGUUCCUUAGCAUCAAUCCCACUAUAUCUCUCAGUGCUUUCUAUCGCCCUGAAUUUAUCCUCAACCCACUUCCACCUUUCUUCAAAUUGCUUUGGCAAUUCCUCUCUUAUUUUUUUCUUUUCAAUCGCCUCAUCAAAGUCGGGGAUGAUAAGAUUGACAGGAUUAUUCUCAGAGCUAGAGCCUGAUCCAGUUUGGUAAUUCAUCGCCUUUGAAGCAUCGACCUGAAAUUGCUGAGGCCUAAUGGUAAUAGAAGAUUUACGCGGGUACAUUUCCACUUGGGGCUGUACAUCUGGGGGAGUGAAGCUUGGAGGAUACAGGGGUCCGUCAUCACCUUCCUCCUUAACAUUGGUCAUGGGGCUCUUUCCUUUAUCUUUCCUUUCCGUCAACAACUGCGUUAACUUUGUCAUCAUACUUCCUUGAGAUUCCAUCAUUUUACCCAUCAUUUUCUCUUGAACCUUCUCGAGCUGCUCCUGCAUCUGCUGCUGAAGUUGCUCAUGCAUUUCUUUUUAGAACUGCUCGAGCUUUUCUAAUCUUUGAUCCAUAUUCUUUGAUUUCGCUCUUAUACCGUAACGGGGCUGGGUUGGCUGGUUGGUUUCCAGGUUAACUGAAGAAUAAUUUUAAUUGAUUAGGCUCUUUUGGUGGAUUUUAGUGCAUAUGAUGCAAUGUAAUGCAAAUGCAUGAGAUGAAUGCCAAAAGAGACGUUGGUUCUGAUUCAAUUCCAUUUAGAAAACUUUACUAGAAGACAAAUUUCUUCACAUAAAGCGGAUAUAUAUAUACGGCUUUGCCCUCAUACUCUAGGCGAAGACAUCCUCUCCUUCUUCAUCUGGAUACUAAGAUAAAUCUUGCGAAUUCUUCAAAAGGGGUAUCUCCUCUACCUCAUUUUUGCUUGAUCCUGGUUAUAAUCCAUCGUCUGCCCAUCCCCGUAAUGCUCCUCAGCUUCUUUAAGGCAGUUCGAAUGUCAGAAACUCUUGAAUAAUCAGCUUGACCUUGAAGGACGAAGUAAAGUCAUGUAUUCCUCCAUCACCUUUCUUGCAUUUCUUGGAAUAUAUUCAGGCAGCCGUAUUAUCUUUCAUUUUAUCAAGAAACCCUUUUCCCAUGAUAAACUUUCUGAGUUAGUAAUCGAACUUGAAUCAACAUCUCUUUUUUAAGACGCAAAUGCAAUGCAAUCAUAAUCAAAACAAAACAAAACGGGUUAGUACAAAACAGAAAACAAACAAGAAAAUAAAUACAGUACCUACUUGAGUGACCUCUAGGGGUUUGGCAUAGUUCUACCUAGGGCAAGCUCCUAAGGUUCACUAUAUAUGGUUUGGUUUCUAGAGCAAGGGUACCCGAACAAGCAAAUUCCUCGAUCCUCACCCAUUAUAGGCUCAUAUGGACCGAGUUCAGUUCAGGGGGAUACAUUUCCCUAUGGCUACACGGAGAUGAAAAUCUCACGAAGACAUAGGUACGGAUGUAUCCCGAAAGCGAUCCACUAUCCUGCACGGAGGUGAAAACCUCACGAAGGACUAGCUUCUCACUUCCACCUAAAAGGGUAAAAAUGACCGACGUUAUGAGAUGCAAAAUGCAAAUAAGCCAACAGAUUUAAGCCAAUCAAGCAAACACAUAACAAUGAAAACCAAUGAAUGCAAAAGGGAAAUCAUGAUUUAAAACAACUUUAAUUCUCGACAAAAGACACAAAAUAAUCAAUUUUACGGCUCGACUCUCUUAUGUUCCCAGCGGAGUCGCCAAGCUGUCGAAACCAUUUUUUUGAUAAAACAAAAAUUAGUUUGUCGACUUUAAAAACAAAAAUUUGGAGUCGCCACCGAUCCUUGAUUGAGGUGUGAUCGGCCCACCUUAAAAAUUAUUCUGGUCUACGAAAUUUGAGAGAACGAGUUCGGGAAUCAGUUACGUACGAGGAAGGGUUAGCACUCUCGUAAUGCCCAAAAAAUCGGUACCAAAUUGAUUAUUUAAUGUCUUAGUGUCGAGGGUUAAAACGAUUUUUUUAAAAAAAAACUCCAAUGAUGAAAUCUAAAAAGAAUAAUCAAAUGUUUAAGUCAAACGAAGAAAUCGAAACCCAAUACGUUAGGGUAUAAUUUCUCAAAAUCCCCAAACUUUGAAUAUAUCUUUUAUUUUAGGGAAAAUCUUCAUCUCGAGAAAACAAUAUGCCAUACCCAAUGCGUUAGGACAUAACAUGUUGAAUUCCCGAAAAUGAUUUUUAUUUAUGCGUUUUGAAAAAGAAAAUUCUCGAUUAUUUAGGAUUAAUAAAGAAAAUCGAAACCCAAUACGUCAGGGCUCGAUUUCCUCGAAAAUCCCGGAUAUCGAAUAUCACUUUUAUUUUAAAAGCCUUUGAAUCAAAAGAAAAUGAUUUUAAAGUUUUGACGAAAUCAAAAUAUAUAUUUUUUAAAAGAUAUGUUAAAAAAUGUUGAUGUAAUAUGAAACAAAUAUUUUAAUAUAAAUUAUAUAUGUAUAUGUAUAUAAAAAUUAUGGGAAAAAGUAAUAUAAAAAACAUAUAAAAUAUAUACAUGAACCUAUAAAAGUUUAGAAAUAUACAUGUACAUUAUAAAGGAAAAAAAAUAUGCGUAUAUACAUUAUAAAGAUAUGCGGGAAAUAUAUUUAUAAUAAUGUUGAAAAAGUGUACGAAUAUAUCUAUUAUAUAUAAAAAAAUGUAUAUAUAUGUACCAAUUAUAAAAUAAGGAAAAUGUAUAUGAAUUAUAAAAUAUAAAUGUAUAUAAAAACCAUGUAAAUAGAAUAAUAAUAAAAUAUAUAUAUGAAAAAAAUGCACAUGUAUUUAUAAAAAUAUAUGCAUAUAUAUUAUAAAAAGAAAUACGUAUGUACAUGUAUAAUAAUAAUAAUAAAUAAUUCAAUUGAAAUUAAAAUAUUUAAUAGCAAUAAUAACAAAAAUGACUAAUUUAAACUUAAAACAGAAAUUCGGGGCAAAUUUGAAAUAAAUAAAAUGCGAAUGGACCAAUUAGAACACGCAAUCAAUAGUGGAGGACCCAAAGAGAAAUUUACCCAAACCUCUCAAACACGAUGUAGCAACAUGGACCAAAUUGAAAUAGUUAUAAAAAAUAUGGCGAAAUUUAAAAGAAAUAAAAAAAUUAAUUUAAAAAUACUAUAAAAGAAAGGGACCAAUUGCGCAAAUGGCCCAUUUUAAAGAAAUGCACGCGGGCGUGGCCCAUACGGCGCCGUUUUGGGGCCACUGGAACAGGCCCCAAAUGACGUCAUUUUAAGCCCUAUAAAAACCCAAUUUUAAAAACCCUAAAUCAUUUUCCCCUCUCUGCCAUUUGAAGCUGCGCCGCGGCAGUUCACCUCCGUCGUUGCAGUCCCCUCCCAUGUCCGACCUGAUAACGAUGAAUCUCGCAACGAUAAGCCCUCCUUUUUCUUUCCCUUUUGUUUUUGUUUUAUAACAGAAAAUAAAAAAUAAAAAGAACCAAAUAUCCCACAGAUUUUAAAAAACAAAAUGAGAUACCUUCAAAAAUUCCUUCUUUUCUUUUAUUUCGUACCUUUUUUCUUUUUCAAUACAAUUUUUGUCUCUUUUACACUUUUUCCUGAUCUCCCCCCUUUUACAAAAAUCCCUUGGCCUUUUCUUCUCACCAAAUCUUUUCCUCUCUCCCCCUUUACCUUUUUGCUGUAUAUUCUACUACUAUUCAUCAUUCGUUGCAAGUGUGCGGAGAACGUGCGUUGUGCGGGGCUACUGGACGUGCGGGCAAGGACGUGAGGCAAGGGACAGUUGCUGCAACGUGGGGAUGUGCGGCGCAAAUACUAUCUGCUGCUUAGGGGUUUUGUUGCCUCUAUUUUGUAUUUUGGGCUAGCAGAUUAUGACUAGCAAUUUGGGCCCUAUUAGGCUGAAUUAUUUGGGCUGCAUAAAUGGCUUUUUAGCCAGGCCAAAAUUGGCCUAUUACACAUAUUAUGUGGGAGCAAAUUAGACAAAUGAUGGAACAUAAUAUUUACAGAAACUGUUGGAGCAAUGAAUGAUCACAGCAUUUAUGCCAUAGUCUAUGAGCUACUUCUGUUGAGUUAUUUAAUACUAGAUGCCCAUUUCUGGAAGUGUUAGAAUGUUUCAUUCUUGUCUCAAGUGCCCUGUUAUUGUAUCUAUCCUAUCCUCUAGAACUAGAUUAUUUCCCAAGUUAUUUUGCUCCGCUCACUUUCCCUUCUAACUCUCUGCCUCCUCUUGC
rnacentral:lncRNA from 1 species